CGUUAUCCUAGCAAGAAAGCCAAACACCCCUCUCAGGAUGUUUGAGAAUGGAGUCAGAAGAAGAGUGAGGGUGAGAGGAGGAGUACGGAGAAGGAGGUAGAGGUAGAGGAAGAGGCCGAGCCAGAGGUCGAGGAAGACCUGAAGCAGGAGGAGAACGUGUACAAAGAAGAAGAGGACCAAACUUAUCAAAUGACACUCGUGCAACACUAGUGGACCAUGUUGUGAACCACGGAUUGACGCUGAGGGAGGAUGGACUGAGAGUUCAGCCAAAUCUUAGCAUAAGGACUUUUCGACAGGAAAACAGGAUUGAGGGUCGGGAACGACAAGGAAGAAGGGGGACCAUAUUCACGCAAGAACAAGAGAGAGAUAAUAAACAUGGUUUUGGCC
ensembl:lncRNA